GUGGUGCUUUCUCAGCUGUGGGAUCAGGUAGUGAGUCACAAAGCCGACGGUUCCCGCCAGAGCGUAGAGCACGAUGGUCACGAACGGCUGUGGAAAGAAGACGGAGCGGCCCAGUCAUGAAGAGAAAAAUGUGUGUGUUCGUGAGCGUGAUGCUCCUCCCCCUCCGCUAACGGCUUUCAAUGGUUACCAUGGAGUUCUGCAGCUUCUCCGGCAGCGGGUCUUUAAUGACGGCGUCGUCCUCUUCCUCUUCCUCGCUCUCCACAAGCGCAGGCAUCAUCUUUGACUUGAUGAGGGAUCUUGUAACAAAAACAUAAAAAACUGGUUUUUGAUUUGAAAAAUGCAUAAAUUGUGUUUUUUAAAGCGUGAAGAGAGCCUCACAGCAGCACGGUGGGGUCGCUGCUCUGCCGGCUGAGGUGGUAGGAGAGCACGACCAAAAGGCCACAGAAGCCGGAGAAGAGGGCGGGAGUGUGCUGCUCGUCCCAGGGCUCCUGCAACCACACAGACAUCGUCACCUUCCUCCAAAGAUGCAUAAAGCUAAUGCUAUCUGAAUGAGCUAAGAGCUAAAACAAGAUGCAUGGUGAUGACUAAACAGUUUGUACCUUGAGAGCGCCGAAGCAAAAACCGUAGAGCAGAGACAGAGCGAGGAGACUGCGGAGGAUGCUGUAGACGGCAGAGAUGAGACUCGUAGCAGCUGGAAGGAAAAUGAGCCAAAAAAAGUUAGUUUGAGUGUCUGAGAUGACUUCAUGAAGUCGUAGGUGGACCUCUGCUCAAUAAAUAAUGUGGUUUGGAAGGA